rnacentral:rRNA from 1 species
AGAAUCAACGCUGGCGGCGUGCCUAACACAUGCAAGUCGAACGAGAAAGGGACUUCGGUCCUGAGUACAGUGGCGCACGGGUGAGUAACACGUGACUAACCUACCCUGGAGUGGGGGAAUAACUGAGGGAAAACCUUAGCUAAUACCGCAUAAUACCUACGGGUCAAAGGAGCAAUUCGCUUCAGGAGGGGGUCGCGGCCGAUUAGCUAGUUGGCGGGGUAAUGGCCCACCAAGGCAAUGAUCGGUA